CGCGUAGGCGGCUUUGCGUGUCUUCCGUGAAAUCCCUCGGCUCAACUGAGGACGUGCGGAAGAAACUGCGAGGCUCGAGUCCGGGAGAGGAGGGUGGAAUUCCCAGUGUAGCGGUGAAAUGCGUAGAUAUUGGGAGGAACACCGGUGGCGAAGGCGGCCCUCUGGACCGGUACUGACGCUGAUGCGCGAAAGCGUGGGGAGCAAACG
rnacentral:rRNA from 1 species